GCUUAAUGUUCCCUCUUUCGAUAUUUGUUUUUGCAGGAUUUGGACACCUUCCAUUUAUGAAACGGCGGAUGAAUAGGCCAAACACGUCCCCUCAACCGUUCUCAAGCAUCGAAGAUUCCGGAAACGCAAUGGCAGGAAUAGCAUCUGGUCAGGAACG